GCGGGUGUAGUUCAGUGGUAGAACGUCUGCUUCCCAAGCAGGAUGUCCCGGGUUCGAGUCCCGGCACCCGCU
rnacentral:tRNA from 1 species